GCACACAGCAGGGGGUUGGAACUGGAUGAGCAUUGUGCUCCUUUGCAACCCAGGCCAUUCUGUGAUUCUUUUUCUGGUCAGUAUCUUAACUUGGGAGGUCAGCCGCAUUUAAAGAACAAUGCUUAAAGCAUCCUUGCUAGUACCAAUCUAAUGACUCAAGCUAAUUCAAAAAAUAACGUUAAUUUAGCCCUCAGCAUCCCUGACCCACAUCCGUGUUUGAUAAAGAAACCAGGCUGCCUCAUUUCACCCAAGGAAUUAAAAGAACCCCGUAUGGCGUGAGAGGAAGAGCGGCGUUCAGCCCGCUGUGCUCGGGCCGUAGCGCGCUGUGCUGCUGUGCUCGUUCUGAGCCCGCGGUGCCGCUCCGCGUGCUGCUGGCUGUGCGGGUCCCGGCAGCUGCGUGGGGAGGUGACCGUGAGCUCUGGACGGACACAAACUCGUUACCGCACGUGCUGGAGAAGUUUGGGCGCUGCUCUCGGCUUCUUGCUCGCUGCCUUUCCCGGCUGUCGGAAGCGAUUUUCCGGGCCAGCUGUUCCGUGUCCCAAAGCUCCCCCUGCAGCGGUGGGUUCUCAUCCGUCUCCGUGCGAGGUGCGGCACAGCACGGCGGUGGGAAACGGGAAAUCCAGCUCCCGCUCCCCAGCUUUCCGGUUUCACAGCAGAGCGGCUCGCUUCACCUCUCGCUUUAUCUUUGUCUCCUGAAAGCGACGGCACCGCGCACGAAGGGGAGCUGCCGCCGCUCGCAGCGACGGGUCCCGCAGCUCCUGGCGCCGAGUUCGCUGCCGGCUGCCCGGCCGGGACGCGGUGCGGAGCCGCGCCGAUCUCUCACCCCCCCCCCGGCACCGCCUCAGGGCCGCCCCGCGCCUCCCAGGUGCCGCCGCCCCCCGCCCCGCUCCUCCCUCUCCCCUCCCUCCGCCCUCUCCCUUCCCUCCCGCACUCUCUCCCCGGCAGCGCUGAGGUUCGGGGCCGCCGCCGAUCCUCGCCGUUAUGGCCGCGGUGACGAGGGGCACGGCCACGCGCCGCAGCCGGCUGAAGCGCUCGGACGGCAGCACCACCUCCACCAGCUUCAUCCUGCGGCAGGUAUUUUUCCAGAUCUGGGAUGUAGCUUGUGAGACUCCUGCAAAGCAAUGGGAUUUUCCCCAACAUCUUGACUUUAGCUCACACAAUCCUGUUUUCUCAGUGGUAACAACGAGGUUACUCAGUACCAGACCUCCAGAAAGCAAAGCAAAGUUUGCUUAGCCUGAAAGCCUUGCUGAAAAUGAUCCUUUGCUGCAUGCCAACCUUGUCAGACACUCAUCCAGGUUCCUGCAACGUACACAUGGGAUGACCAAAAUGCCACACGCUUUCCUUUUAGGCUAUGCACUGUGUUGGUCAUGGCUCCAAAGCUGUUGCUUUGACCACCUUCCUCUGAGAAGAAAGUGGAUUUCUGCUCACUGCAUUUUGCUGUAGGAUUUUUGCACCUGCGGUUCAAGGUAAAACCAGCCUGAGUAAUUUUCUUAGGGAGCAACAACCCCAGAUGCGUGCUGCUCAACAGCACUGAGGUUUGCAUGAAUCAUUCCAUACAGGCACUUGAAUGAAGGUCAGCACAAAGCCAAGGAUACGAUUCCUCUUCAGCAGAUGGAGAUGUGCACAAUGUAAAUGAAAGUGGAGCGAGGGAUGGCUGCAGCUGUGUGCCUGGCAGGGAGCGUGGGGUGCACUGCUCUGUGAGCACUGAAGGACAGAGGCUUUUCUUCACAGAUUGCUGAGUUUGCCCCUUUUUUUCAGUGAGAACACGAGUUGCAAGUCUUAAUGCUGAGCCCCUUCACACCAAUCUCAAGCUGAUACAGAAGUGGACACUCAUGGGAAACGGGUGCUUUAUUCUUCACCUUACCCGGCAGUCAGGAGGUAGAUGGCAUUUGCUGUCAAACGUGAUUUUCAGAGCCCCACAGUGCAUUUAAAAAUAAAAAUUAAAAAAUGAAGUGAGCA
rnacentral:lncRNA from 1 species